AGCGAACGCUGGCGGCAGGCCUAACACAUGCAAGUCGAACGAACCUUUCGGGGUUAGUGGCGGACGGGGGAGUAACACGUGGGAACGUGCCUUUAGGUUCGGAAUAACUCAGGGAAACUUGUGCUAAUACCGAAUGUGCCCUUCGGGGGAAAGAUUAAUCGCCUCUAGAGCGGCCCGCGUCUGAUUAGCUAGUUGGUUGUGGGAUUGGCUCACCAAGGCGACGAUCAGUAGCUGGUCUGUGAGGAUGAUCAGCCACAUUGGCACUGAGACACGGCCCAAACUCCGACGGGAGGCAGCAGUGGAGAAUCUUGCGCAAUGAGCGAAAGCCUGACGCAGCCAUGCCGCGUGAAUGAUGAAGGUCUUAGGAUUGUAAAAUUCUUUCACCGGGGACGAUAAUGACGGUACCCGGAGAAGAAGCCCCGGCUAACUUCGUG
rnacentral:rRNA from 1 species